rnacentral:lncRNA from 1 species
GUGAUGAAAAUUAAAAAAUAUAUAUUUUUAUAAAGGGUUAAUUUUAUACAGGUCCUAUAAAUAUACGGUGAAUUAUAAAUAUAUUCUUAUAAAAUUUAACUUUUAUAUAUUAUCCCUAUAAAAAUUUUGAUUCUUUAGAAAAUAUUAGAUAACCAUAGAUAAGAUAUUUAACCUUAGUUAGCUAAUGAGAUAAAUUGACCGUUUGAUCUAUCUUUAAUUAAUAGUUGGGACUUUUGGAGGGAUAUAUUUGUGGUGCAAAAAAAAUUAUUUUAUUUAUAAAAUAAAUAAUAUUUUAACGGUAACAAAUCAGAGGGACAUAUUUGAAAAUAUUAUGACUUUUAUAGAAACAACAUAUACUAAUUGAAUUUUGUAGGGAUAUAUUUGCAAUUCGCUAUAUUUACAAGAAUCUGUAUGAAAUUAACCCUUUUAGAAAAGUAAUUUUUAAAAAAGUGAUUUUUUUUAGUUGGAUUAUUUGGUUGUUUAUAAAGUGAAAAAAAAAAUUAUAGUUUUAUAUUUUUUAUUCUUAAUUGAUUAUAUGUGAAGAAGGUGAGCAUGAGAUCGCGGCAAGGGCGUCGCGCGAAUUAGUUAGAUCAGUGUGAGUUGAUUUAGCGGAUAUCAUUUUGUAAAAGUAUAAACCGUGUAAUAUUUUGGGGAUUCAAAGAGUUAUAAAUUUUAA